rnacentral:rRNA from 1 species
UACGUAGGUGGCAAGCGUUGUCCGGAAUUAUUGGGCGUAAAGCGCGCGCAGGCGGUCCUUUAAGUCUGAUGUGAAAGCCCACGGCUCAACCGUGGAAGGUCAUUGGAAACUGGAGGACUUGAGUACAGAAGAGGAAAGCGGAAUUCCACGUGUAGCGGUGAAAUGCGUAGAGAUGUGGAGGAACACCAGUGGCGAAGGCGGCUUUCUGGUCUGUAACUGACGCUGAGGAACGAAAGCUAGGGGAGCAAAUGGG